rnacentral:rRNA from 1 species
UGCCUUUUAAAUGAAGGCCUGUAUGAAUGGCACGACGAGGGCUUAACUGUCUCCUCUCCCUAGUCAAUGAAAUUGAUCCCCCCGUGCAGAAGCGGGGAUAAUAACAUAAGACGAGAAGACCCUGUGGAGCUUUAGACUAUGAGCAGACCAUGUCAAGAAUAACAAACAAGUAAAUUAAACAAAUUGGCCCCUGCUUCCCUGUCUUUGGUUGGGGCGACCGCGGGAUAAUAAAAAACUCCCACGAGGAUUGAGAACCCUUAUCUUAUAACCAAGAGCUUCUCCUCUAAGUAACAGAACAUCUGACCUUAAUGAUCCGGCCUGGCCGAUCAACGGACCGAGUUACCCCAGGGAUAACAGCGCAAUCCUCUUUUAGAGUCCAUAUCGACAAGAGGGUUUACGACCUCGAUGUUGGAUCAGGACAUCCUAAUGGUGCAGCCGCUAUUAAGGGUUUGUUUGUUCAACAAUUAAAGU